rnacentral:rRNA from 1 species
UAAGUGAAGAGUUUGAUCCUGGCUCAGAGUGAACGCUGGCGGUAGGCCUAACACAUGCAAGUCGAACGGCAGCACAGGAGAGCUUGCUCUCUGGGUGGCGAGUGGCGGACGGGUGAGGAAUACAUCGGAAUCUACUCUGUCGUGGGGGAUAACGUAGGGAAACUUACGCUAAUACCGCAUACGACCUACGGGUGAAAGCAGGGGACCUUCGGGCCUUGC